AACCUUACCAGGCAGGAGAGAUACCAUGAUCAUAAAGCAGUUUUCCCAGGGUGAGACUUAUCCAUCUCACCCUGUAGGUGCCAACUUCUGUGGUUUCCCCAAGUGUGGGAAACCCAACAGAAUAAUUUGUGGUACUGGGAGACCGCAUCAUGCUUUUCCCUG